rnacentral:rRNA from 1 species
AACGUAGGAGACAAACGUUAUCCGGAGUUACUGGGCGUAAAGGGCGUGCAGGCGGUUUCUUAAGUUCGUCGUGAAAUCGCCCGGCUUAACCGGGCGGGGUCGAUGGAUACUGGGAGACUUGAGGGCGGUAGAGGCGUGUGGAAUUCCGGGUGUAGUGGUGAAAUGCGUAGAUAUCCGGAGGAACACCAGUGGCGAAGGCGACACGCUGGGCCGUACCUGACGCUAAGACGCGAAAGCAUGGGGAGCGAACGGG